rnacentral:rRNA from 1 species
CAGUCGCCGCGGUAAUACGUAGGGUGCGAGCGUUAAUCGGAAUUACUGGGCGUAAAGCGUGCGCAGGCGGUUAUAUAUGACAGAUGUGAAAUCCCCGGGCUCAACCUGGGAACUGCAUUUGAGACUGUAUGGCUAGAGUAUGUCAGAGGGGGGUAGAAUUCCACGUGUAGCAGUGAAAUGCGUAGAUAUGUGGAGGAAUACCGAUGGCGAAGGCAGCCCCCUGGGAUAACACUGACGCUCAUGCACGAAAGCGUGGGGAGCAAACAGGAUUAGAUACCCGCGUAGUCCCUGUCUCUUAUAA